GCCUGGAAAGAUCCAAGUGUCUCGAUUCUCCCACCGUCCACCUGCCUUGGCCUCCCAAUGUGCUGGGAUUACAGGUAUGCGCCCACUGUACCUAGCCUCUUGGAUAUUCCUAUGUUGAUAUAAAAUACUGUCUUCCAGUUACCUUCUAAUUUGCAAAGCCUUCUGAUUUACCUUCUGAUUUGCAAAGAAAAAAAUUUUCUUUCAGCAUCCCAGGCUUAAAACCUUAAAGUUAUUUUUCACAUUCUUCUUUUUUUAUGCUGUAAUAUACCCUGUUAGUUAAUAGGUUCUGUGUGGGCUUUUGGGUGCUUCCUAUGACUGGCCCAUCUGCAAAGUAGAUCUGUUGACUUAUUUCGGCUACUGGCAGCUUAGGAUAGAUCCUUAUAUCUGUAAGAGCUACUUAAAUGCCUUUUCAGCAAUAUACUCUUAGAGUCAUGGCGUCAUAGAUGUCACUGAUAAAAAGAAAUGUGUUCCUGGGUUAAAAUUCUGAACAUAUUUUCUGUUAGAAAUAGUCUUGUGGAUAGGGCUACGUACAAGAUUAA
rnacentral:lncRNA from 1 species